CAUUCAAAAAAAAAAAAAAAAAAAAAAAAAAGGAGGAGGAUACGACACUUAUGAGAAUUGAUUUUCAAUUUCAAAGUCAAAAGAAUUAUUCCACCGUAAUUGUCGUUGAUUGAUUUUGUUGUUACAAAACCUAAUAUUAAAGGAGAUAUUUAUUGAUUUAAUUAACAAAUUUAAUCAAAACAACUUAGGAAAAUAAGAAUAAUCUUAUGGCUUAUAAGCCCAUUUCCCAUUUCCCAUUUCUCAAAUCCCAAAUACAGCCCAUGUGUAAUUGGGUUUCUCUUUAACUUCCAAAGUAGGUCAUUUGAUUCUAAGUCAAAAUUCCAAGCUUUACAAACUACCCACUUCGACAUCCAUUUCUCAUUCAUACGAACUUCGUUUUUGACAUUCAAAUACACUACCGUAUAAUGCACGCAGCGACGAUUACAUCUUGCCCAAGAACCGGUCAUUCCGAUGAACGUCUUCACCGGAAAGUGAUCAAAACCACUUUGUCAAAAAACAAGUUCCAACAUAUCCCACGUUCCAACACGGUUAAUAUCCAACGAAUGACACAAACUGGAUCAACAUCAGGUCCACACUUGAAAGAGAACUUAUUUGGAGUAGAAUUUGCUUGCAAAGCCAAUACUCUAUCCACGAAAUCUGUAAACAUUCUAUGAAUCUCAUCCUUUUUUGCUUUACCCUCUUCAAUAUGCAGAUAUACCGAGGAGUAAUCAAACUCAAGAUUUGGUGUGAAAGCAAAGAGAUACCGCCAUUUUUUCGAGAGAAGCGAUGUUAAAGCAGCUUCUUUUGUGGGAAGACAAGACAAGAUUUGGCAAAUAAGAGGUUCUGGUAGAGUGCUGAUUAUAUCUUUGGAACCAAAAUCCAUCUUUUUCGAUCUAUAGUGACAGAAUCUCAACAGUUAAAACCUAAAAAAAACAUGACAUGAUCAGAGAAUUUCAGAACCUGUUUCAAGGUUUUCAAAGUGUUACAAGCAAAUUUUAGUCAAGGUCAUAUCUGGAGAUUCAAUGGAAGUCCAAUCUCUUUUCUAGGCAAGAACACCAAUCAUGUUCAUUGACUUUACUCUCUCGCCAAGAGCUCAAAUCAACCAGACCAUUCAAGAAUCAUGGACCGCGUUUACCUAAAAUGUAGAAGGCAAUGAAGGUGUGUUUAGCUCCUCGGACUCUUCCACAAUACCGGAACACUAUAUAUGUUGUUGUGUUUGGACCAUGGGAUGAAGUUAGCGUGUGGAAUAUGUCAACCUCGAGGCCGUUGAGGUUCUUCUUGAUUGCAAGGGAACUGAUCGUUGAGCCUGUAGUUCAGCACGCGUCGUUUGUAAUGAAAUUAGCAGGCUGAGAUUGAUAUGACCACUGGGGGCUACCGAAAUGCCAAGAAUGGCUUUAAAAUGGCUUAAGUAUUGGAGGUCAGAGACAGCUAUUUCUAGGUUUUCUUUUUUAUUAUACACAUUGUAGCAGGUUCAUUAAUCAAUUUAUAAACAGCUUCCAUCCAAA